AGCGAACGCUGGCGGCAGGCCUAAAACAUGCAAGUCGAACGCCGUAGCAAUACGGAGUGGCAGACGGGUGAGUAACACGUGGGAACGUGCCCUUUGGUUCGGAACAACACAGGGAAACUUGUGCUAAUACCGGAUAAGCCCUUACGGGGAAAGAUUUAUCGCCGAAGGAUCGGCCCGCGUCUGAUUAGCUAGUUGGUGGGGUAACGGCCCACCAAGGCUACGAUCAGUAGCUGGUCUGAGAGGAUGAUCAGCCACACUGGGACUGAGACACGGCCCAGACUCCUACGGGAGGCAGCAGUUAGGAAUCUUGGACAAUGGGCGCAAGCCUGAUCCAGCCAUGCCGCGUGAGUGAUGAAGGCCUUAGGGUUGUAAAGCUCUUUCAGCGGGGAAGAUAAUGACGGUACCCGCAGAAGAAGCCCCGGCUAACUUCGUGCCAGCCGCCGCAGUAA
rnacentral:rRNA from 1 species